CCCUUUACCACUAUUAAGUAGCACUAUAAACAUAUAGAAGUUAUUAUGUUAAAACUAGUAAUAAGAAGANAGACCUUCUCUUAAAUGUAAGUGUUGAUCAGAAAGGACAACCCACUGAUAAUUAAACGCCAAUGAAUACGAAACAGCACNCACCACUAGAAAAAUCUGUCUCCCNNNNCUGACGUUAAUCUAACACAAGAACAUUACAAGAAAGAUUAAAAGAAAAAGAAGGAACUCGGCAAACAUUAACCUCGCCUGUUUACCAAAAACAUCGCCUCUUGCCACAANUAUAAGAGGUCCCGCCUGCCCAGUGACUUAAUUCAACGGCCGCGGUAUCCUAACCGCGCGAAGGUAGCGUAAUCACUUGUUCUUUAAAUAAGGACUAGUAUGAAUGGCAUCACGAGGGUUAUACUGUCUCCUUUUUCUAAUCAAUGAAACUGAUCUGCCCGUGAAGAAGCGGGCAUAAAAAUAUAAGACGAGAAGACCCUAUGGAGCUUUAAACUAUAAUUGCAUUGGCCCGCCCANNNNCUACAAUGCUUCANNNNNGAACUACAACAUUAAACCAAGCCUNUAUGACCAUUAGUUUUAGGUUGGGGUGACCGCGGAGUAGAAAUUAACCUCCACAUUGAAAGGAGCNAUGUCCUGAGCUUAGAGUUACACCUCCAAGCACCAACAAACUGACAUUCAUUGACCCAACAGAUUGAUCAACGAACCAAGUUACCCUAGGGAUAACAGCGCAAUCCACUUCAAGAGCCCCUAUCGACAAGUGGGUUUACGACCUCNGAUGUUGGAUCAGGGUAUCCCAGUGGUGCAGCCGCUACUAAUGGUUCGUUUGUUCAACGAUUAAAACCCUACGUGAUCUGAGUUCAGACCGGAGUAAUCCAGGUCAGUUUCUAUCUAUAANAGGGCUUUUUCUAGUACGAAAGGACCANAAAAAGCAUGGCCAAUGCGUAANGUAUGCCAUNACGUAUAACUUAUGAUACUAUCUUAAUUANCCUAUAUCCUACCACNNCAAACCCAAAAAAAGGGAN
rnacentral:rRNA from 1 species